rnacentral:snRNA from 1 species
AGCUUUGUGCAGUGGCAGUAUCAUAGCCAAUGAGGUUUAUCCAAGGUGUGAUUAUUGCUAAUUGAAAAACAAAAAAAG